UCCCAGUUCAAGCUUCCACAAUCAUCCUACACAAGAGCACUGCUUCUCACAGGACUGCCUCAGCCUGGCAGGAUUCAGUCUCCUGCUCUGAGGGAAAAACAGGAAGUCAAGGAUCAAGACCGAGUGCUCAACUGAGAUCAGAAAGGAGGACACACAGUGACUUGGCCAAAUCACUGGAGAUUCACACAGCAGAGCUCAGACGAGUGCUAUCAGCACAGCUGAGGAAGACAACAGUUAGGGGAAUCAGUGAAGUGAGCUCCCAGCUACCGCCUCGAGAGGCUGCUAUUGACAAUCUCCUGUCUGGCCAAACAACUUCCUUUCUACAACUUUGCCUGGGCGAAUGGCAGUAGGAAAACACCACCAACAAAUUGGAAAUUGCCACAUCAUUCACAUCGGUUUUCCUCUACUGAAUCCAAUCCCUGCUUUCAAGAAGAAAGAAGUGGUAGUACAAUACAAUCUCAGCAUUCUGUAAUCUGGCUUGAAUGUGACUGUGCAAGGAUCCUGAAAGAGAAACAUUGGUUGUGUUUUUAUUCCUUGGGUAUAAGAAUCCUGAAAGAGAAAGGCAUCUGAACCUUGGAGGCAUGGGGUUCAUCUCAUCCUCAUCCAGCCUGUGAUGAUGGAGCUGUUUUCACCAGAAACGUGAGGAGACUCAUACCACUUGAGAACUAUUUGUUGGAGUGCCAGAUUAUUUAAGGGCCUUUGCAUGUUUCAAGUCCUCUUCUUAAAGUAAGAAUACUCUCCACAUUUAUAACAGCAACAAAAACACCAAUGUCAGCACAAAAUGCAAAAACGGAGGCACUUCUAUGUCAUAAUGAUACAUCAGAGUUCUGCUCAACUCUUUUUUAGAAAAAGAAGCUCAGACUUACACACAUCCACUUUCUUAAAUAAAUAAUUGUUCAAUGAAA
rnacentral:lncRNA from 1 species